UUUAAGGAUGAACAAUUUAUAACAACUACGAAUUUCUUCACCUGAAACACCAUGUGGAAUAAAAAUAAAUCAGAGCUUUUUAACACUGACA
rnacentral:snoRNA from 1 species